rnacentral:rRNA from 1 species
UACGUAGGCAGCGAGCAUUGUUCGGAGUUACUGGGCGUAAAGAGUGCGUAGGCGGUUUUCUAAGUUUGGUGUGAAAUCUCCCGGCUCAACUGGGAGGGGUCAUUCGAUACUGGCGGGCUCGAGGCCGGUAGGGGGAAGCGGAAUUCCCGGUGUAGUGGUGGAAUGCGUAGAUAUCGGGAGGAACACCAGUGGCGAAGGCGGCUUCCUGGACCGGUUCUGACACUGAGGAGCGAAAGCGUGGGGAGCGGAUCCGGGAUUACGAAA